rnacentral:rRNA from 1 species
CGCGUAGGCGGCUUUAUAAGUCUGGAGUGAAAGUCCUCUUUUCAAGGGAGGAAUUGCUUUGGAAACUAUAGAGCUUGAGUGCAGGAGAGGUUAUCGGAAUUCCCGGUGUAGCGGUGAAAUGCGUAGAUAUCGGGAGGAACAUCGGUGGCGAAGGCGGGUAACUGGACUGCAACUGGCGCUGAGGCGCGAAAGUGUGGGGAGCAAACA